UACGGAGGGGGCUAGCGUUGUUCGGAAUUACUGGGCGUAAAGCGCACGUAGGCGGAUCAGUCAGUCAGGGGUGAAAUCCCGGGGCUCAACCCCGGAACUGCCUUUGAUACUGCUGGUCUUGAGGUCGAGAGAGGUGAGUGGAAUUCCGAGUGUAGAGGUGAAAUUCGUAGAUAUUCGGAGGAACACCAGUGGCGAAGGCGGCUCACUGGCUCGAUACUGACGCUGAGGUGCGAAAGCGUGGGGAGCAAACGGG
rnacentral:rRNA from 1 species